rnacentral:sRNA from 12 species
GGACCAAGUUUUUUAAGGCCAUACGGACAGCCGGGUCCCAAUGCCGA